GAUGAUCAGCAGGCAGGCAAGAAAUGCAAGGCAGCACCUACGGCCACCUUAGCACAAGCCCAGCACUGUUAACAAUGGAAUCGGCUUCCCUGGAAACAAAACUCAGCCGGGAGAUCAGCCCUCGAUUUAUUCAGAGUCCCAGAAAAACUGCAAUGGAAAAGCAAUGAGGCAAAGCUACAAAAUGUGUCCUGGCUUGGGGCACAACAUGAGUCUGUGGGGUACCUGCCUGGUGAUGAAACCUGCUAAACCCUGAAGGAAAAUAGAGACAUGUCCCUGCACCACCACCUGCUACAGGGUAAUGAGUGGAUGGUAUUGGCAAAACGUCUCUGGGGGUCUAACCCCAAACACAGCCUGUAGCCCAGCAGACACCCCCUGUGUGCAUGUGUAUGGGCAUGUGUGUGUGAGGAUGCAGCUCACCCAGCAACACACUGAAGACAAAUUUUCAUGAACAGAACAGCUCCUCCUUCUACCCCUUCCCAAUCCCCCUGAUCAGUCCUAUGAGCUUUAGGCUACCCAGACUCCCCCGUGGUACCUACCUCAUAGUCCAUCAGCUCCUUGCAGAGCGCAGAGAGGGGGCUAUGGAGGCAGCUUUCUCAAUAGACCCUUUAUCCAUCUGUGCUAGAACUUGGGGGUGUCUCCAAAGGUUAAAAUAAAAAGCAGUAGCACAUCAAACAAGCAGGGAUGAAUGCAAAGCCUGGAGCAAGAAGGUCACAUGAAGCACCACAAACACUUUGGGCAUAAAAGGGCAUUGUCAGGCUUAAUGCCAGGAUGAGGGGAAAGAGCAAAUGUAAGGGGUUCUGAAUGGUUUGGAUGAAGUCAGCAUGUUAAGCAAGAAACAUGAGUCUUGGGGGUUGGAGAGAUGGCAGGGGGAAGAAAAUGUGCUUCACAUGAACACAAGGAGGGUUUGUGUUCCUCCUUUCUAUGUUUAUCCCCCUUCAGCUCCGGCCCCAAGCAGUCAGCUGUAAUGUUGAUUUACACUUCUGCCUCUCUGGGGCAGGGACUGUGUCUUUGUUCUGUACAGCACCAAGCACCACGAGUGUCCCAGCCCUGGCUAACGUCCUCAAUGCUGCAGCAAUACAACCCUAUCAUAGCAAUAAUGCUCGAUAGGGCUGGCCUUUUAUUCUAUUUCUAAGGUGCCCGGCACAACAAAGACUCCUUGAAGUGGGGUCCUUGGUGUUACAAACAGACUGCCAACAGAUGUUGCAUUUGUCCUGGGACAAGUUGUGCCUUUGGUUGUCCCAGAAAAGAAAAGUCACAGGACUGGCAUGUAUACAUAUUGCCCCUCCAAUCAGGGUUUAGUGAGUGGCUGAAUGCACUCCUGCUUUUCUUCAGUUGGUCCAGUGAUGCAAUCCCGGGAUAUCUGCCUUUAGGACAGAACGAUCUCAUGCACCGGUACAGGCUGGGGACCGACUGGCUAAGCAGCAGCUCUG